GGACUUGUGACCUGGCGGGGGACCCACGCUGGAGCAGUCUGUGCCUGAAGGACUGCAGCCCGGGCAAGGGACCCACAUUGGAGAAGUUUGUGGAGGACUGUCUCCUGUGGGAGGGACCCCACGGUGGAGCAGGGGAAGAGUGAGGAGUCCUGCCCCUGAGGAGGAAGGAGCGGCAGAGACAAGCAAAAGGAACAGCAGGCAUCAAAUGAAGCUGGAAGAAGUCAUGCUCAAAACAGAAGAGGUGAUUCUUCGUGCAGCAGAUUUGUCUUGGACCUAUGUUAAAGUGAACUCCUGAGAGGCCCAGUCCUGCGACGGAUGAGGAGCUAAGC